rnacentral:rRNA from 1 species
AACGAACGCUGGCGGCAGGCUUAACACAUGCAAGUCGAGCGAGGUUUUCGGACCUAGCGGCGGACGGGUGAGUAACGCGUGGGAACGUGCCCUUUACUACGGAAUAGCCUCUGGAAACGGAGAGUAAUACCGUAUGUGCCCGGUAACGGGGAAAGAUUUAUCGGCAAAGGAUCGGCCCGCGUUGGAUUAGGUAGUUGGUGGGGUAAUGGCCUACCAAGCCGACGAUCCAUAGCUGGUUUGAGAGGACGAUCAGCCACACUGGGACUGAGACACGGCCCAGACUCCUACGGGAGGCAGCAGUGGGGAAUCUUGGACAAUGGGGGCAACCCUGAUCUAGCCAUGCCGCGUGAGUGAUGAAGGCCUUAGGGUUGUAAAGCUCUUUCAGCUGGGAAGAUAAUGACGGUACCAGCAGAAGAAGCCCCGGCUAACUCCGUGCCAGCCGCCGCCGUAA